GAUGAACGCUAGCUACAGGCUUAACACAUGCAAGUCGAGGGGAAACGAUAUUGGAAGCUUGCUUCCGAUAGGCGUCGACCGGCGCACGGGUGAGUAACGCGUAUCCAACCUGCCCACCACUUGGGGAUAACCUUGCGCAAGUAAGGCUAAUACCCAAUGAUAUCUCAAGAAGACAUCUGAAAGGGAUUAACGAUUUAUCGGUGAUGGCAGGGGAUGCGUCUGAUUAGCUUGUUGGCGGGUUAACGGCCCACCAAGGCGACGAUCAGUAGGGGUUCUGAGAGGAAGGUCCCCCACAUUGGAACUGAGACACGGUCCAAACUCCUACGGGAGGCAGCAGUGAGGAAUAUUGGUCAAUGGGCGAGAGCCUGAACCAGCCAAGUAGCGUGCAGGAUGACGGCCCUAUGGGUUGUAAACUGCUUUUAUAAGGGAAUAAAGUGAGCCUCGUGAGGCUUUUUGCAUGUACCUUAUGAAUAAGGACCGGCUAAUUCCGUGCCAGCAGCCGCCGUAA
rnacentral:rRNA from 1 species